UACGUAGGGCGCGAGCGUUGUCCGGAUUUAUUGGGCGUAAAGAGCUCGUAGGCGGCUUGUUGCGUCGGCUGUGAAAACCCAUGGCUCAACCGUGGGCUUGCAGCCGAUACGGGCAGGCUAGAGUUCGGUAGGGGAGACUGGAAUUCCUGGUGUAGCGGUGAAAUGCGCAGAUAUCAGGAGGAACACCGGUGGCGAAGGCGGGUCUCUGGGCAGUAACUGACGCUGAGGAGCGAAAGCGUGGGGAGCGAACAGG
rnacentral:rRNA from 1 species